rnacentral:rRNA from 1 species
UGGCAGUCAGAGGCGAUGAAGGACGUGCUAAUCUGCGAUAAGCGUCGGUAAGGUGAUAUGAACCGUUAUAACCGGCGAUUUCCGAAUGGGGAAACCCAGUGUGAUUCGUCACACUAUCAUUAACUGAAUCCAUAGGUUAAUGAGGCGAACCGGGGGAACUGAAACAUCUAAGUACCCCGAGGAAAAGAAAUCAACCGAGAUUCCCCCAGUAGCGGCGAGCGAACGGGGAGCAGCCCAGAGCCUGAAUCAGUGUGUGUGUUAGUGGAAGCGUCUGGAAAGGCGUGCGAUACAGGGUGACAGCCCCGUACACAAAAAUGCACAUACUGUGAGCUCGAUGAGUAGGGCGGGACACGUGGUAUCCUGUCUGAAUAUGGGGGGACCAUCCUCCAAGGCUAAAUACUCCUGACUGACCGAUAGUGAACCAGUACCGUGAGGGAAAGGCGAAAAGAACCCCGGCGAGGGGAGUGAAAAAGAACCUGAAACCGUGUACGUACAAGCAGUGGGAGCACGCUUAGGCGUGUGACUGCGUACCUUUUGUAUAAUGGGUCAGCGACUUAUAUUCUGUAGCAAGGUUAACCGAAUAGGGGAGCCGAAGGGAAACCGAGUCUUAACUGGGCGUUAAGUUGCAGGGUAUAGACCCGAAACCCGGUGAUCUAGCCAUGGGCAGGUUGAAGGUUGGGUAACACUAACUGGAGGACCGAACCGACUAAUGUUGAAAAAUUAGCGGAUGACUUGUGGCUGGGGGUGAAAGGCCAAUCAAACCGGGAGAUAGCUGGUUCUCCCCGAAAGCUAUUUAGGUAGCGCCUCGUGAAUUCAUCUCCGGGGGUAG